rnacentral:rRNA from 1 species
UACGAAGGGGGCUAGCGUUGUUCGGAAUUACUGGGCGUAAAGCGUGCGUAGACGGUUAUUUAAGUCAGGUGUGAAAGCCCCGGGCUCAACCUGGGAAUUGCAUUUGAGACUGAAUAGCUAGGGUGCGGAAGAGGGAAGCGGAAUUUCCGGUGUAGCGGUGAAAUGCGUAGAUAUCGGGAAGGAACACCAGUGGCGAAAGCGGCUUCCUGGUCCAGCACCGACGUCAGGCACGAAAGCGUGGGGAGCAAACAGG